GCGCGCUCCAUGCAGUCGAGCGGCAUCAGAAAAUUUAUUAGUAAAAUAAUAACUUUUGCUGGCGAGCGGCGAACGGGUGAGUAAUAUCUGGGGAUCUACCUAAUAAUGGGGAAUAACUACUAGAAAUGGUAGCUAAUACCGCAUAAUGUCGAAAGACCAAAGUGGGGGACUUUUUUUUAAAAGCCUCACGUUUUUAGAUGAACCCAGACGAGAUUAGCUAGUAGGUAGGGUAAUGGCUUACCUAGGCAACGAUCUCUAGCUGGUCUGAGAGGACGAUCAGCCACACUGGAACUGAGACACGGUCCAGACUCCUACGGGAGGCAGCAGUGGGGAAUAUUGCACAAUGGGGGAAACCCUGAUGCAGCCAUGCCGCGUGUGUGAAGAAGGCCUUCGGGUUGUAAAACACUUUCAGCAGGGAAGAAGUAAUAAAUACUAACAAUAUUUUUUAUUGACGUUACUUGCAGAAGAAGCACCGGCUAACUCCGUGCCAGCAGCCGCGGUAAUACGGAGGGUGCAAGCGUUAAUCGGAAUUACUGGGCGUAAAGCGUAUGUAGGCGGUUUAUUAAGUCAGAUGUGAAAUCCCUAGGCUUAACCCAGGAACUGCAUUUGAAACUAAUAUACUAGAGUAUCAUAGAGGGAGGGAGAAUUCCAGGUGUAGCGGUGAAAUGCGUAGAUAUCUGGAAGAAUAUCAGUGGCGAAGGCGCCCUCCUGGAUGAAAACUGACGCUGCAAUACGAAAGCAUGGGGAGCAAACAGGAUUAGAUACCCUGGUAGUCCAUGCUGUAAACGAUGUCGAUUUGAAGGUUGUAAUCUUGAAUUGUGACUUUCGGAGCUAACGCGUUAAAUCGACCGCCUGGGGAGUACGGCCGCAAGGUUAAAACUCAAAUGAAUUGACGGGGGCCCGCACAAGCGGUGGAGCAUGUGGUUUAAUUCGAUGCAACGCGAAAAACCUUACCUACUCUUGACAUCCAGAGAAUUUAGCAGAGAUGCUUUAGUGCCUUAGGGAACUCUGAGACAGGUGCUGCAUGGCUGUCGUCAGCUCGUGUUGUGAAAUGUUGGGUUAAGUCCCGCAACGAGCGCAACCCUUAUUCUUUGUUACCAGCGAUUCGGUCGGGAACUCAAAGAAGACUGCCGGUGAUAAACCGGAGGAAGGUGAGGACAACGUCAAGUCAUCAUGGCCCUUACGAGUAGGGCUACACACGUGCUACAAUGGCAUACACAAAGAGAAGCAAACUCGCGAGAAUUAGCAAACCUCAUAAAAUAUGUCACAGUCCGGAUUAGAGUCUGCAACUCGACUCUAUGAAGUCGGAAUCGCUAGUAAUCGUGGAUCAGCAUGCCACGGUGAAUACGUUCCCGGGCCUUGUACACACCGCCCGUCACACCAUGGGAGUGCAUUGCAAAAGAAGUGAGUAGUUAACCAAAACAUCGGAGAACGUAC
rnacentral:rRNA from 1 species